AAAAUUGCAGUUAUUACCAAAGUUACAGAAUAGAACAAUAGGACAGAAUCCAAAAGCAUCCAACAUACUUGGAUAUAGCUGACUUUCUUCUGUCCAGGUCAGUGACCAGUUUAGAAGGCUUAAAGGUGAUGAAGACUGAAGAGUACUAAAAUACAUACUGAGUGGAGUGAAGCACAUUAAUGGGAGUUGAGCAAUAUUUUAUUCUUACAAAGAAUGAAAAAUAAUAUAGGAAUAAUGUCGAGCCAUUCAAGCAUGAUGUUCUACAAACUGAAGAAUAGUAACUCACAUCUCAAUCCAAGAACACGACCUUAACAAGGGGUGGAUCCAUCAUGGGGCAGCUGGGGCAACUGCCCCACUAACUUUUAUAUAUAAAAUUUGUGUGUUUAUAAAUUUGCCAACUUAAUUAUUUCUCUUUAGUCCACUUAAUUAUUUAAAUUAUUUAUGCUAUAUAAAGUUUGUGUUUUUAUAAAUUAUCCCUAUUUAAUUACUUCUCUUCACCCUAACUCAAUUGCAU
rnacentral:misc_RNA from 1 species